GGUUGAUCCUGCCAGUAGUCAUAUGCUUGUCUCAAAGAUUAAGCCAUGCAUGUCUAAGUAUCAGUUGAUUAACGGCAAAACUGCGAAUGGCUCAUUAAAACAGUUAUGGGUUGCGUGAUGAAUGUUACUACACGGAUAACUGUGGUAAUUCUGGAGCUAAUACGUUGCACAAACAUCCGUUGGAUGGCGCGUAUUUUGUUUGACCAACGAAUUUGGUGAACCAUGAUAUGCAGCGAAUUGCACGGCACUUGCUGGCAAUGCUUCACUAAGAUUUCUGACCUAUCAGCUUUCG
rnacentral:rRNA from 1 species